rnacentral:rRNA from 1 species
ACUCCUACGGGAGGCAGCAGUGGGAAUCUUAGACAAUGGGCGCAAGCCUGAUCUAGCCAUGCCGCGUGAGUGAUGAAGGCCUUAGGGUCGUAAAGCUCUUUCGCCAGGGAUGAUAAUGACAGUACCUGGUAAAGAAACCCCGGCUAACUCCGUGCCAGCAGCCGCGGUAAUACGGAGGGUGCGAGCGUUAAUCGGAAUUACUGGGCGUAAAGCGCAUGCAGGUGGUUUGUUAAGUCAGAUGUGAAAGCCCGGGGCUCAACCUCGGAAUUGCAUUUGAAACUGGCAGACUAGAGUACUGUAGAGGGGGUAGGAAUUUCAUGGUGU